AGAGUUUGAUCCUGGCUCAGGACGAACGCUGGCGGCGUGCUUAACACAUGCAAGUCGAGCGGAAAGGCCCUUCGGGGUACUCGAGCGGCGAACGGGUGAGUAACACGUGAGUAACCUGCCCCUGACUCUGGGAUAAGCCCGGGAAACUGGGUCUAAUACCGGAUAUGACACCUCCUCUCAUGGGGUGGGUGUGGAAAGUUUUUCGGUUGGGGAUGGACUCGCGGCCUAUCAGCUUGUUGGUGGGGUAAUGGCCUACCAAGGCGACGACGGGUAGCCGGCCUGAGAGGGCGACCGGCCACACUGGGACUGAGACACGGCCCAGACUCCUACGGGAGGCAGCAGUGGGGAAUAUUGCGCAAUGGGCGAAAGCCUGACGCAGCGACGCCGCGUGGGGGAUGACGGCCUUCGGGUUGUAAACCUCUUUCAGCAGGGACGAAGUUGACGUGUACCUGCAGAAGAAGCGCCGGCUAACUACGUGCCAGCAGCCGCGGUAAUACGUAGGGCGCAAGCGUUGUCCGGAAUUAUUGGGCGUAAAGGGCUCGUAGGUGGCUUGUCACGUCGGGUGUGAAAGCUUGGGGCUUAACUCCAGGUCUGCAUUCGAUACGGGCUGGCUAGAGGUAGGUAGGGGAGAACGGAAUUCCUGGUGUAGCGGUGAAAUGCGCAGAUAUCAGGAGGAACACCGGUGGCGAAGGCGGUUCUCUGGGCCUUACCUGACGCUGAGGAGCGAAAGCGUGGGGAGCGAACAGGAUUAGAUACCCUGGUAGUCCACGCUGUAAACGUUGGGCGCUAGGUGUGGGGACCUUCCACGGUUUCCGCGCCGUAGCUAACGCAUUAAGCGCCCCGCCUGGGGAGUACGGCCGCAAGGCUAAAACUCAAAGGAGUUGACGGGGGCCCGCACAAGCGGCGGAGCAUGUUGCUUAAUUCGACGCAACGCGAAGAACCUUACCAAGGCUUGACAUUGCCCGGAAACACUCAGAGAUGGGUGCCUCUUCGGAUCGGGUGACAGGUGGUGCAUGGCUGUCGUCAGCUCGUGUCGUGAGAUGUUGGGUUAAGUCCCGCAACGAGCGCAACCCUUGUUCAAUGUUGCCAGCACGCUCCUUCGGGGGUGGUGGGGACUCAUUGGAGACUGCCGGGGUCAACUCGGAGGAAGGUGGGGAUGACGUCAAGUCAUCAUGCCCCUUAUGUCUUGGGCUGCAAACAUGCUACAAUGGCCGGUACAGAGGGCUGCGAUACCGCAAGGUGGAGCGAAUCCCUAAAAGCCGGUCUCAGUUCGGAUUGGGGUCUGCAACUCGACCCCAUGAAGUCGGAGUCGCUAGUAAUCGCAGAUCAGCAACGCUGCGGUGAAUACGUUCCCGGGCCUUGUACACACCGCCCGUCACGUCACGAAAGUCGGCAACACCCGAAGCCCGUGGCCCAACCAGCUUGCUGGGGGGAGCGGUCGAAGGUGGGGCUGGCGAUUGGGACGAAGUCGUAACAAGGUA
rnacentral:rRNA from 1 species